ensembl:lncRNA
AUUUACAAUGACGGCUAUGGAUUUACAAUGACGGCUAUGGAUUUACAAUGAUGGCUAUGGACUCAAAGAAAUUCAAUAAGAAAAAACUGCCUUCCAAAAUUGUUCAAAGAAAAAAAAUAAUGACCAUAAGGACAUAAGCAAAGCCACGGAAAGAAAAGCAAACAAGCAAAGAAGAAAGGAAACCAAAGCAAAGCGAGAAAGCCAUGAAGCCAUGCAAAAUGCAAUGCAAAGCAAAGGUAUGAAAGGAAAACCAAAGAGCAAAGCAAAGCACCAGAAAAACAAUAAAAAGAAAUGAAAGAAAAGG